UAUAUUAAGUUCCUUAAGGUUUUAAUUCAUAUAACUUUAAUUCCAUUUUCAUUAUAAAUUUGUUAGUAAUAUGAAUGAAAAAAUAAUAUUGUCAUUUAUUUUACAUUAAAAUAUAUAUUUUACCGGUUUAUAUUUGUGUUUUCAUAUCAUCUGUAUUAUUUUUAUCUCUUUAAAUUUUUUUUGGAUAAUGGUCUCUUUAACUUUACUAAAAAGAAUAUCAGUAUAAUUAUAUUCUAUCGUUUGGCUCAUUUCACUUGGUGAGAGCUAUCUAAAAUGUGGAAAACAGUGCUUUUCUGGUCCCCCCACAUACAUAUUUUUUUGUUAUGCUGGUGUCUGUAAUUGUUUAGGGAGUCACUGAAGGUGAAGGGAAAGUGUUCAUUCACAAAUGACCAGGAAUGAGUCUUGAGCUUUGUAAAAUCCCUGUAUUUGAUUACCCUUAAAUGAGAGACUCAUUAUUGAAAUUCUAAUUAUUGAAAUCCCUGUAUUGGAUGCUAAUUAUUGAAUUCAAAAUUGUAGACUCAAAUGAAUGAGCUAACGGAGCACAUGGAGGCAGCAACUUUUGCACCCUCGAACCCAUUAUAUAGGCAGCAGGUUGCUGAUUCACGUAGUAGUCAUCCCACUGUUCGGCCAAUGUCACAUCAACAACAAUCUCAUGCAUUUUCAUCCCAAGAGGUUUACCUUUCAAAGAAGAAGAAGAAGAAGAAGAACUAACAAGGUGGUUAUGUAAAACUUCCUAAUGUUUUUAGACUGGGCAUUUUGAUGGCCCUUGUUAAUAUGUAAUCUGGGGACUAGUUGGAACUCCCUGGUGGAAGAUUUUGGGGCUUUAUUGAUGUUAUUUUUGUAGAUACGACGGCGUUUCUAAAACGUUGCUAAAUAUCGUUGGUGACGUCAGCAGCUAUAUUGUAGGACAUUUGGCGGCGUUUU